GGGAAUUUUCCGCAAUGGGCGAAAGCCUGACGGAGCAAUGCCGCGUGGAGGAGGAAGGCCUGUGGGUCGUAAACUCCUUUUCUCAGAGAAGAAGUUCUGACGGUAUCUGAGGAAUAAGCAUCGGCUAACUCUGUGCCAGCAGCCGCGGUAAUACAGGGGAUGCAAGCGUUAUCCGGAAUUAUUGGGCGUAAAGCGUCCUGAGGUGGCUUACCAGUCGACUGUGAAAGCUCAAGGCUUAACCUUGAAACGGCAGUCGAAACUUGUAAGCUUGAGUACGGUAGGGGCAGAGGGAAUUCCCGGAGGAGAGGUGAAAUUCGUAGAUAUCGGGAGGAAGGCCAAAGGCGAAAGCACUCUGCUGGGCCGAUUACUGACACUGACAGACGAAAGCUAGGGGAGCGAAAGGGAUUAGAUACCCCUGUAGUC
rnacentral:rRNA from 1 species